GCUGGCAAAAACACAGAGACAGACCGUCUGGGGUCAGCGUGGGGGCAGCGGUCAGCCGUGCUGGUGCCUUCCCGAGCCUGUAGCCAGAUUGCCUAUUUGGGGAAAAAAUGGCGGCACGGGGAGCACGUAAACAGCCUAAAGGGCGGAGGCAACUCCUUCGCUGAAAACCCCUCAGGCCCCGUGAGAAACCCACACUGAGUGUCCACAGGAAACACCCCGGCCUCCGAGGGUCCCCCCGUCCCUGGGCACUGCCAUCCACCAAGCUCAGCCCCCCAGGACAACGGGAUAACGGUAUGCGGUUUCUGUGACGUCUAUCAAAGUCCAUGUUGCAGGCACAGCUUACCGUUGCACACAGGGCGCAGCCAUCAGAGCAGCGCGGCUGGCGCCUCC
rnacentral:lncRNA from 1 species